ACGCAUCCUUUCGGGGGUGAGUGGCGGACGGGUGAGUAACGCGUGAGAAUCUGCCUAGAGGUCUGGGACAACAGCUGGAAACGGCUGCUAAUACCGGAUGUGCCGCAACGUGAAAGAUUUAUCGCCUCUAGAGGAGCUCGCGUCUGAUUAGCUAGUUGGUAGGGUAAAAGCCUACCAAGGCAUCGAUCAGUAGCUGGUCUGAGAGGACGACCAGCCACACUGGGACUGAGACACGGCCCAGACUCCUACGGGAGGCAGCAGUGGGGAAUUUUCCGCAAUGGGCGAAAGCCUGACGGAGCAAGACCGCGUGAGGGAAGAAGGCUCUUGGGUCGUAAACCUCUUUUGUCAGGGAAGAACACAAUGACGGUACCUGACGAAUCAGCCUCGGCUAACUCCGUGCCAGCAGCCGCGGUAAUACGGAGGAGGCAAGCGUUAUCCGGAAUUAUUGGGCGUAAAGCGUCCGCAGGUGGCUCAUCAAGUCUGCGGUCAAAGACCGGGGCUUAACCCUGGAAAGGCCGUGGAAACUGAAGAGCUAGAGAGAGGUAGGGGUAGAGGGAAUUCCCAGUGUAGCGGUGAAAUGCGUAGAGAUUGGGAAGAACAUCCGUGGCGAAAGCGCUCUACUGGACCUUAUCUGACACUCAGGGACGAAAGCUAGGGGAGCGAAUG
rnacentral:rRNA from 1 species